GGCCAAUCAGGUAGAUCAUAUUCCCCUCCCACACCCGCCCCCGCCCCCCCUCCUUCUCAUCUUUUCCUUGGCGUCUGAAAGGAAAAAGAAAAGCUUUAUAUAUUCAACACACUGUUUCUGUAUUUUCUAGGGUGCCUGGUAGAUAUGUUUUUUUUUUGUUUUGGGACUCCUUCCUUCUUUGUUUCCUCCUCGUCCUUUUCCUCUUCUUCCUUUCUUUAAGCCUCUCCUGGAGUAAGUGAUGGAAGGAAACAGAAGUGCUUUGAACUUCCCAAGCAUUGCUUUGUGUAUUUACUUUUCUUGCCUUCCACUUUGAGUAUGGUGAUUUCAGUAGCAGUAAUUUUUCCCUCAGUGAAGGGGCUGGAAAAUAGGGUUGGUCAUGCUGGAGUGAUUUUAUUGGUUGUAGUUAUCUUGAUUUACAUGUUCCAGUCUUGCCUUUCUAGGGAGGGUUGGAACUAAUUUGGUUCUGCGGGAUUUAGUUUUAGUGUUGGGAAUUUACAUCUUCAAGAGAGGAAUAGUGAAUCCUUUCUCAUUGUUUUUGGCACAUUGAAAGCUUUGAUACUUGGUAGUUUUAACAUAAGAGAGCUCAAAUUUACCUGUGCAACGUCAGAAGGCUUCAUUGGUCAUGGAUAUUUGAUGGUUGCAGGCUGUAGAGAGAGCAGCUGGU
rnacentral:misc_RNA from 1 species